GCCUCCGUAGCUUAACGGACAGAGUUCCUGGCUUCGAACCAGGCGGUAGAGGUUCGAUUCCUCUCGGAGGCG
rnacentral:tRNA from 1 species